AGAGUUUGAUCCUGGCUCAGAACGAACGCUGGCGGCGUGCCUAACACAUGCAAGUCGAACGGAGGCAAGGGGCUUGCUCCUUGCUUUAGUGGCGCACGGGUGAGUAACGCGUAGAUAAUCUACCUGAAGAUCCGGGAUAACAUUCCGAAAGGGGUGCUAAUACCGGAUAAGCCCACGAAGUCUUCGGACUUUGGGAAAAGGGGGGGACCUUCGGGCCUUCUGUCUUCAGAUGAGUCUACGUACCAUUAGCUAGUUGGUGGGGUAAAGGCCUACCAAGGCUACGAUGGUUAGCUGGUCUGAGAGGAUGAUCAGCCACACUGGAACUGAGACACGGUCCAGACUCCUACGGGAGGCAGCAGUGGGGAAUUUUGCGCAAUGGGGGAAA
rnacentral:rRNA from 1 species